UCGAGAGAGGAGCUGUGUCGUUUAGUGUCGUGACUUUUUUCACUUAUUUUUGCAAUAAUAAUUGUUAAAUAAUUAUAAAUUGUUAAUAAAUCGGUUAAUUAAAUUUUUCUGAACAAAAUGUGCUAUAAUUUAUUGAGAAAUUUUGUGAAUUUUAGCCAAUAUUAAUAGACCUGUCAUGACUCUUGGAGCUUACAAAGGAAGAUAAAAUUUGUCUAUUAUUUGUUAAAUAAUAAACAAAUGCUAUAUAACAAAAAAUAUGGAGAACGUAUUUGACGUUUUUAUGCAAUUAUUCAAACAACAUUAUCAAAAAUGAGACUUAACAAGGGACUAAAUUGGUUUGUCAUUGAAGCCAAAAUCAUUUUUGAGUACAUUGCAUCAAAUUUAUUAAUGACUAAAACAUUAUUCUUGCCAAUUCACGUAAUAUCAGAUUUACAUAAUGAAAAAAUAAGAAUGUGAACAACUACUUAAAUGCUUAAAACUAACAUAAACAAUAGCAAGAAAAUGAUUAUAGUGUUGAAAGUGUUAUGUGGUAUACGUUGCAAGUUUUAGUUUGUCUUAUCAAGUGCUUUAAAAAUUAAUUAAAUUGUUUAUAAACUAUUUGACAAUUUAACAAUCAUCAAAUACUGAUACACUUGAACCAGCAACAAAAUGAGCUUCUGCUUCAACAAUGAUGAGUCUCUGACAAUGAAUAAUUAUUACUCAAUUAUUUACAUAUUGCAAGUGCAAUUAAAUCCAAAACAUGUCAAGUUUAAAUGAAAUCCAACAUGUCAUGAGUUUUCUAAUAUGAUUUAUCAAUCUUUUACUGGAGCAACCAAUAAUAUCACAUGCUGCUGGUAAUAUUGACUCUCAUGCUCUCUCUAAUGCACCAGUUAAUGUUGUUGUUGUUGUUGUUCUUGUUAAACAUUUGCCAAUUUUUAUUGAAAUUGUCUUUGGUAAAGUGCUGGUACUGCUCCAUCAAUAACAACAUGUUGAGCAAUGUUGAGAGAGUUGCUUAGACUAGUUGAGAGCAUCAGAAUAAACUGCCUCUAUCAAAGUGCUUGCCUCCUCUGUCAAAGACCUUGUUUACAUCACAUCAAAGAGUUUACCGCUAUAGCAACAACGUGUAUAUUAUCAAUCCAGCCAAGAAGACUAGAGACUUUUUGAAAUGGAUAAACUACUUGCAAAUCAUAAUAACAGUAUAGACUAUAUUUAAAAAUAUAAUAUUACAGUUCAUUAUAAUGUUUAAAUAAUCGAGUCAAAUAGUUUAUCAUCAAGUUAAUACCUAUAAGAGAUAUUAGGUACUUUAUAAACUGUAUAAGUUAAUAUGUGUUGUGUUGUGUUGUGUUUUUUUUUUGGUACAUUUACAAGUGGUGAUAGUGAAAAAAGCAGUGAAAAGUGAUCCUUGUUUUGUGUAGUGUGUGUGUAGUGCUUGUGUGUGUGUUCAUUGAACCUGUU